UGAAGAAUACUAACAGUCUGUAAGAGAAAGACCAAGGUGGACAAACAGAUUAGCAGAUCUCAGAAAUAGAAAUGAUAUAAAAAAUAGUAGAGAAUUUUAAAAUUCGAAUGUGUCCUUAGAGAUAUUUGAGAACAUAUAUCAUCCAUAGGUCAAGAACAAGUUAUUGGAGAAUAGGAGUAAUUAUAGACCAAGAAGAGCCCUUUAAAAUUAAAAAUACACAGCAAAUAAUCUAAAAAUAAUACAGAGCUAUUAAAAAAAGAACUAGCACAUUGGAAAUAAAAUUGAGCAAAAUUACCAGACCACACACCAAAGGGAAAAAAGAUGAAACAAGUUAUUAGAUAGGGAAAACACAGAGAACUCACAUCCUAGCACAUAUUGGAAAUGCCCAGAAGAGAGAAAAUAGAACUGGGGAUGAGGAUAUUCAAAUAAACAAUUGGUCAAGGAGUCCAAAGAAAGAACAGAUGUUUGAGCAAGAAGAUGAGAGAGUAUCUUUCAGAUAACAGGAGGGAAAGAAAGGACUAUUUCUUCAGAGCCCAGAGGUGAGAAUGUCUCCAGCUUUUGAAGUCACUGGAACUGCAACUGAGUGGCCAAGGGUGAGGGGAGUUGGACAUGAGAGGGAGUCUCACUCUGUCGGCCAAGCUGGAGUACAGUGGUGCGAACUCAGCUCACUGCAACCUCCGCCUCCUGGGUUCAAGCGAUUCUCCAGCCUCAGCCUUCCGAGUAGCUGGGACUACAGGCACGCGCCACCACGCUAGCCUAAUUUUUUUGUAUUUUUAGUAGAGACAGUCUGGUCGCGAACUCCUGACCUUGUGAUCCACCCGCCUUGGCAUCCCAAAGUGCUGGGAUUACAGGUAUGAGCCACCGUGCCCGACCCAAGCAUUUGUUAAAUGAUAUACCUUGAUCAUUAUCACUAAACAUGUAUAUAACAACUUACUUCUUGAAAAAUGAUUUUAAGAAUAAAAGUCAUUGUAAUGAAUGCUAAGGAAGAUAAAGCAUAUUAAUUUUUCUUCUAAAUUUUCAGGAAUCUCUUCUCAUUUACUGAUAUUCCCUUUCAGUAACAUUAACCAGAAGAAAAAUGUAUGCAAAAAUAUAUUAUUGAAUUAUAUUACAUAAUAAAUUUAAUUAAAAGGAAGUAGGAAAUAUU
rnacentral:lncRNA from 1 species